UUCAACGGACAGUUGCAAUCUACAUAAG
rnacentral:sRNA from 1 species